rnacentral:rRNA from 1 species
AGUGAACGCCGGCGGUAGGCCUAACACAUGCAAGUCGAACGGCAGCACAGUAAGAGCUUGCUCUUACGGGUGGCGAGUGGCGGACGGGUGAGGAAUACAUCGGAAUCUACUUUUUCGUGGGGGAUAACGUAGGGAACUUACGCUAAUACCGCAUACGACCUACGGGUGAAAGCAGGGGAUCUUCGGACCUUGCGCGAUUGAAUGAGCCGAUGUCGGAUUAGCUAGUUGGCGGGGUAAAGGCCCACCAAGGCGACGAUCCGUAGCUGGUCUGAGAGGAUGAUCAGCCACACUGGAACUGAGACACGGUCCAGACUCCUACGGGAGGCAGCAGUGGGGAAUAUUGGACAAUGGGCGCAAGCCUGAUCCAGCCAUACCGCGUGGGUGAAGAAGGCCUUCGGGUUGUAAAGCCCUUUUGUUGGGAAAGAAAAGCAGCAGGUUAAUACCCCGCUGUUCUGACGGUACCCAAAGAAUAAGCACCGGCUAACUUCGUG